rnacentral:rRNA from 1 species
CUCAAGAUUAAGCCAUGCAUGUCUAAGCACAAGCCCUUGAAUGGUGAAGCCGCGAAUGGCUCAUUACAACAGCCAUAGUUUAUUAGAUCUUUACUUUUUACUUGGAUAACUGCGGUAAUUCUGGAGCUAAUACAUGCAUUAAAGCUCGGACCUUACGGAACGAGCGCAUUUGUUAGUGCAAACCAAUCGGCCCUUCGGGGUCGUACAUUUGGUGAAUCUGAAUAACUUUGCUGAUCGCACGGUCUCGUACCGGCGACAAAUCUUUCAAGUGUCUGCCUUAUCAACUUUCGAUGGUAGUUUACACGCCUACCAUGGUUGUAACGGGUAACGGAGAAUAAGGGUUCGACUCCGGAGAGGGAGCCUGAGAAACGGCUACCACAUCCAAGGAAGGCAGCAGGCGCGCAAAUUACCCACUCGCAGUACGCGGAGGUAGUGACGAAAAAUAACGAGGCGGUUCUCUACGAGGCCCGCCAUCGGAAUGGGUACAAUUUAAAUCCUUUAACGAGGAUCUAUUGGAGGGCAAGUCUGGCGCCAGCAGCCGCGGUAAUUCCAGCUCCAAUAGCGUAUAUUAAAAUUGUUGUGGUUAAAAAGCUCGUAGUUGGAUCUGCGUCUAGGAGAGCGGUCCCCCGUUGGGCGGCUACUGCUUUUCCGGGACUAAUUAUUCGGUUUUCCCUUGAUGCUCUUCAUUGAGUGUCUUGGGUGGCCGGAACGUUUACUUUGAAAAAAUUAGAGUGCUCAAAGCAGGCGAUUCGCCUGAAUAUUCGUGCAUGGAAUAAUAAAAGAGGUCACUGCAGCUUUUUUAUUGGUUAUUGCUGCAAUGAAAUGAUCGACGGGGACAGACGGGGGCAUUCGUAUUGCGACGUUAGAGGUGAAAUUCUUGGAUCGUCGCAAGACGAACUACUGCGAAAGCAUUUGCCAAGAAUGUUUUCAUCAAUCAAGAACGAAAGUCUGAGGUUCGACAGCGAUCAGAUACCGCUUUAGUUCAGACCGUAAACGAUGCCAUCUGACGAUCCACCGGCGUUAAAUUUGACUCGGUGGGCAGUCUACGGGAAACCUAAGUCAGGUUCCAGGGGAAGUAUGGUUGCAAAGCUGAAACUUAAAGGAAUUGACGGAAGGGCACCACCAGGAGUGGAGCCUGCGGCUUAAUUUGACUCAACACGGGGAAACUCACCCGGCCCGGACACCGUAAGGAUUGACAGAUUGAGAGCUCUUUCUUGAUUCGGUGGGUGGUGGUGCAUGGCCGUUCUUAGUUGGUGGAGCGAUUUGUCUGGUUAAUUCCGAUAACGAACGAGACUCUAGCCUACUAAAUAGCUGGUUUUUCUUCUUCGAGAACCACGCUUCUUAGAGGGACAAGCGGCGUCUAGCUGCACGAGAUUGAGCAAUAACAGGUCUGUGAUGCCCUUAGAUGUUCGGGGCUGCACGCGCGCUACACUGAAGGCAUCAACAUGCAUCUCAACCUACUCCGGAAGGAGCGGGUAACCCGUUGAAACGCCUUCGUGAUUGGGAUAGGGAAUUGCAAUUAUUUCCCUUGAACGAGGAAUUCCCAGUAAGUGCGAGUCAUCAGCUCGCGUUGAUUACGUCCCUGCCCUUUGUACACACCGCCCGUCGCUACUACCGAGUGAGUGUUUCCUCAAGGAGUUCAGACUGGGCUCUGUGUGGCCGCAAGGCUGCGCAGGUCGCUCUGGAAAGUUCUCCAAGGGGAAAUACUUCGAGGAAGUAAAAGUCGUAACAAGGUAGC